AUGCUUUAUGUCACUGGUUCAGUUCUCCUGACCCUCUUAAUGUUCCGGAGGAGCAAUGGAGACUCAGUGACCCAAACAGCAGGCCUGGUUACUCUUAUAGAGGGGGCACCUGUGACCUUGAACUGUACUUACCAGACCACUUAUUCAGGAUCUUUCCUUUACUGGUAUGUCCAGUAUAUUGAUAAAGGUCCUCAGCUGCUCCUGAAGAGUGCAACAGAAAACCAGAAGACAGAGAGCCAAGGUUUUCAUGCCACUCUUGUUAAGAAGGAGAACUCCUUCCACCUGCAGAAACCUGCAGUCCAACCCUCAGACUCAGCUGUGUACUACUGCGCUGCGGGAGACACAGUGAGGGGAACUGCAGGGGGAACUGAGCACAAACCCACAGGGGCACAGGAGGGCCUGGGAGGGGAGGGUUAUUUUCUCUUCCUGGGCAGUGUGUAG